rnacentral:lncRNA from 1 species
GUAAAAAUUAUAAACACAAGAUAAAACCAGGGUUAAAUGAUGGAUAGGGACAGUUACUACAAGGCAGGUGCUUACGCCACUGAGCUGUGUCCCCGCCCCCUGGGACGUUUAUCCUGAAUGGCCCCGUUGACGCACCUGGCCCCACUGUCGGAUCGUAGGGCGGUGAUAGUGUGCACUUUGUGUUGCCGUAUAACGGAAUAUCACACCACCUAUGAAAUGAGUUGUAGAACUGUAAGGCUCCAGCUGGGCCUGACUCCUGGCCCCAACCUGCCGGCCGGCAGAGACACUGUCCUCAGCCGCGAGCUCAGCUCAGCAGCACAGCCGUCAUGGGAAACCACAGGACGUGGAAAGGAGGUGGUCUUCUUGCCUUCUGUCUGCCUGCGUCCAGGGACAACAGAUUUCACGCCAUGCUGCCUUCUCACAAACCUGGUGCCUCUGCUGUUUGCUAAGUCCUUCCUGGUUUUUGGAUUCUGGAGUAGAGAGUUCUGCUGUUUCUCAGGUCCUUUCAGAAGUAGAGCCUUAAACAAAGGGUUGCACGCAGGCAGUUCACUGUAGAGGCGGAGAUCAGAGGGAACAAGCAGGAAUUCUGAGGAGGACAUGAGCGGAAAGCGCUGGACACACACAUUACAGUGUAGCAGUAUCCAUACCUGAAGUUGUUCAACUUUUAGAAACUUUGGACCAACCUAUUGAAUGCAUCUUGG